rnacentral:rRNA from 1 species
CGCGUAGGUGGUUGUGUAAGUCAGAUGUGAAAUCCCGAGGCUCAACCUUGGAACUGCAUCUGAUACUGCAUGACUCGAGUACAGCAGAGGGAAACGGAAUUCCUGGUGUAGAGGUGAAAUUCGUAGAUAUCAGGAGGAACACCGGUGGCGAAGGCGGUUUCCUGGGCUGAUACUGACACUGAGGCGCGAAAGCGUGGGGAGCAAACA